rnacentral:tRNA from 1 species
GGAGAGGUGCUAGAGUGGUUUAAUAGGGCGCUCUCGAAAAGCGCUGUCCCGCUUGCGGGACCCUGGGUUCGAAUCCCAGCCUCUCCGCCA